GCAGUAUUUGGAAGAAGGAGAUAUGAAGGGAAUUACAGACUCUCCCACUUCCAAGUUCAGAAAAGGCCCCUGGUGACUGGAAAGUUCUGGGCAGCAGCUGCUGCCCUCAGCACCCAUCACUGGGGCACCUACUCCUCCCAGCACUCUUGGGCCCCUUCUCACAGGCUCUGCUUCUGGAAAGCUUCUGCUAACCAGGAUCAGAAAGGCACUCUGGUCCACAGAGGACCAGAACAAGCCCUCGCAGGGUUUGACUUUUGGCUUGUGACUUACCCUGGCAAGCUGUCUGCCACGUGACGGAGCCCUCCCUGUGGGGACAUUGUGGAGUCCACGUGUCAGUUUAUCUGGUAAGGGUUGAAAGCAGGGUGAUAGAACCUCUAUUUUUCAACUGAUUGGGAGAGCAGUGGACAUAAAGCUGAUUGCCAUUUAAGGUUAGAGCAGUGGACAUAAAGCAAUUAUGAGAUGGAGAACACAAUGGGACUUAGGCGGAGGGCCAUCAGGGCCAAGAGAAUCCCCACAUCCCUCGCUGUUGACAUUUGAAGUGGAGCUUACAGUCAUAUCAUAACAAUUGUCUAAGACUUGAUGGGUAAAACAAUUUUAAACAAUCCCCUGCCAGCCCAGAAAACCUCUCCACAGAGGCGGAAGAGAAAGAAAACAAUUUUAUUGAACGUGCAUUGAACCAGAAUGUGAUCUGGAUCCCAGACAAUCCAGGAAGAGAUUGCAAAGACGGAGAGGGAUGUCACCUGGUCAUAUAGCCAGGGUUAAGCCUGCAAUAUCCGAAGCCCUGGACCUGGAACUGGAGGCUCCCUCCAGCCACUAUACCUGUGGACUUGUGGAAGACCUGAAGUACCUGUUUAAAAGAAAGCCAAAAGAUAAGACUGAAGCCCCGAGUCGCCCUGCUGACCUGCCGGCUGAGCCCUGCCCCCACUCCUAAGACACCACAUGACUGGUCUCAGUUGAAGAGUCACUUCCUCCAAGGCUCUGAUCCCAAAAAUACUCCUAAAUGAAUUUCAUGCCUGCACAACUUUAUCUCAGUAUCUGCUGAAUGGUGACAGCGACAUCCAGAAAGCACAGUCUAAUCCUCCUCACUGAGUGAAGGGAAGUUGAAGGGUAUCCUACACACUUACAUUGUUUUGAAUUUCAUGUGCCUAUGUGUGUCUUAGUUUCUUUCUUCUUUUUUUCUGAUAUUAAGUUUUUGUUGAGG